AGGGUUCGAUCAUGGCUCAGGACGAACGCUGGCGGCGUGCUUAACACAUGCAAGUCGAACGGAGCACCCUUGAUUGAGGUUUCGGCCAAAUGAUAGGAAUGCUUAGUGGCGGACUGGUGAGUAACGCGUGAGGAACCUGCCUCUCAGAGGGGGACAACAGUUGGAAACGACUGCUAAUACCGCAUGACACAUCGGAAGGGCAUCCUUCUGAUGUCAAAGAUUUAUCGCUGAGAGAUGGCCUCGCGUCUGAUUAGCUAGUUGGUGAGGUAACGGCCCACCAAGGCGACGAUCAGUAGCCGGACUGAGAGGUUGACCGGCCACAUUGGGACUGAGAUACGGCCCAG
rnacentral:rRNA from 1 species